rnacentral:lncRNA from 1 species
GAAUGAAAAGCACCAAAGUUUCAAGUGCAACUCAACCAACUCCGACCCUCAAAUCAUUAAUCAUCUGUGUCGACGUUCCCGCGAGAAAAUCUAUGGAAAGUACAAGAAUAAACUCAUCAUCUUCAUCUCGCACGUCAUAGCACAGAAGCUCCGCAAACAACCAGCUUGGGCAGAAGUAAAAUACCUUAUCAUGAUGUACUGACUGGAUACUGAGCCAAAACUGUGAAACAUUCAUGAAACCGAAGGUUGCUCUGAAAUGAUGCAAAGACAGUCCCAGAGAUUUGGCUUAGUUUCUCAACGAGGGUGUUUUCGCACCAAGAUGAAGGAUCUAAUGAAAGUCACCGAGCUUCUGAUGGUUGAGCCAAUUGUUGAAGGUCAUCAACAACCCUCAUAGACUUCCAUUCAGAUUCUUCUUUGGGUUGUCUCAAGGCAACAAAAUGAAGGGCUCCACUCUGCACUUGGUAAAUAUGGCAUGACCACGGAUAUGAAUCAUGUGCUGACCAAAUCUUUUGGUCUUCUAAAACUGUUUCCUCAGCAAGGGAUUCUGCAAUACAAUAUACAGCUUUAGGGUCUGGCUCCUCAAACCUAGGCACAGCAAAAUACACCAAAAAAAGUAUCGAUUAUAGAAUUUAGCCUAUUUUUACAAUAACAACGUUCUCAAAUAUAUGUAUUAUAUUCUUUUUGUUUUUAUUUUCCCACAAGAAAGAGUAAUAACCUCCCUAUACACAUAAAUUAGUUGAAAGGAAAAAUAUAUACAUGAUUGGAUUGAUAAUUUAAACUAGAUAAUUAUAUUUCUCAUUAACUCUUUGAAAUCAAUACCUAUAGAUUAACCAUCAUGUCCAAAGAACACCCCCCCCCCCCCAAAACCCCCAAAACAAAAAAUCCACAACCCAAAAAAAAAAAAAAAACACGCACACACACACACGAAUUAGUUGCACGGAGUGGUGCAUGCAUGGUUACGUGGACAAGUUUAGCUGAGUAAUUAUAUGUCCCGUUAAUUCUUUAGGAUCAACACCUGGGGAUUAACGAACAAAUAUAUAUAUAUCUAUAUAUAUAUAUAUACAUACACACACAUAUAUACACACACACACACUCCCUUUGAAGUUAGUACACCAGAGCCUUGAGCCCUUCAGUACGGCAAAGACAAGACAAAAAAUUCUUGCAUGUACACUUGCAGAAGAACUCGAAUGAAAAGCACCAAAGUUUCAAGUGCAACUCAACCAACUCCGACCCUCAAAUCAUUAAUCAUCUGUGUCCAGGUUCCUGCGAGAAAAUCUAUGGAACAUACAAGAAUAAACUCAUCAUCUUCAUCUCGCACGUCAUAGCACUGAAGCUCACCAGCUUGGGCUGAAGUAGAAUACCUUGUCAUGAUGUACUGACUGGAUACUGAGCUAAAACUGUGAAACAUUCAUGAAACCGAAGGUUGCUCCGAAAUGAUGCAAAGACAGCCCCAGAGAUUUGGCUUAGUUUCUCAACGAGGGUGUUUUCGCACCAAGAUGAAGGAUCUAAUGAAAGUCACCGAGCUUCUGAUGGUUGAGCCAAUUGUCAAAGGUCAUCAACAACCCUCAUAGACUUCCAGUCAGAUUCUUCUUUGGGUUGUCUCAAGGCAACAAAAUGAAGGGCUCCACUCUGCACUUGGUAAAUAUGGCAUGACCACGGAUAUGAAUCAGGUGCUGACCAAAUCUUUUGGUCUUCUAAAACUGUUUCCUCAGCAAGGGAUUCUGCAAUACAAUAUACAGCUUUAGGGUCUGGCUCCUCAAACCUAGGCACAGCAACACAUCCAGGAGAGACAUAGCCUGCAGGAGCACGAGGAUGCCAAAUCGAGACAGGAGUUAUGUAGUCCUCCAGGCAAUUCCUCCAUACCUGCACCAUAAUAUCCAAAAAUUACUUAUCAAUUUCGCACAAGCAAUAAAAAAGGAUACAUAGUUUGAAACCUUAACACAAGCAUGAACAGGAUUGCCAACUGAGAAUGCUUGAGAAAAAUCAAUGUUCUGCUCAUUGCUUAACCUGUGAACACUUGCAUGCCAUGACUUGUACACAUAGCUUGAUGUGUCAAAUAGGAAGUCAAGGGCAUUAAAUUAUUUUCUUCCAAGUACAAGGUUUGCCAAUAACUAGAUUAAUAAAUGUAAAUCUGAGCUCCUUAAAAUGUUCCCACUACUUGAUUGCUCUUAAGAUGAGAAAUCUAUACCCAGAAAGAAAUGAAAACAUCCAAUUCGUGUUGCUGAAUGUCUGAAACGGAUAAGAAUAUACUAGAAAACUUCCACGUUCAACUAGGGCUACAUCAGCGUUUCAUUGAGCUCAGUAUGAGAAGCAGCGUGAUCUGGUCUGGUCAGCUAUGUCUCCACUGAACAAGCCAGAAUUGGAAUUCACACUGAUGAAUACUAUGAAUUUUUUUAUUGCCUCUUUUGUGUUUGUGUUAGGGGAGGAGGUUCUAAUCUGAAGGAGAAAGUACUAGCAUUUACUUUAUCCAGAGAAGGCUAUUUCAGAGUAUACAUUUUAAUAAGCAAAUGAACAUCAGAAAAACCGUGGAAACAGGAAACCAAAUAGAGGUUAAGGCAACUGUUUUACACAAGAUGACUAAUCCUUGGAUGAGUCAUGCCAGGACAACAAUUCUGCGAUGACUCAUCAGUGUUUGAUUGAGCUAGGUAUGAGAAGUUGAGUGAUCUGGUCAGCUCUGUCUCCACUGAACGAGCCAGAAUUGGAAUUCGCACUGAUGACAACAGCCUUUUGACUCUCUUUUGUGUUUGGUGUUAGGGGGAGGAGGUUCUAAUUUGAAGGGGAAAACACUAGCACUUCAACUGAGGAAGAUUACAUUUCAGAGUAUGCCUUUUAAUAAGCAAACAAGUAAACGGACAUCAGACAUACUGUGGAAACCCGAAUCUAAACACAGAGCAAGGCAACUGUUUUACCCAAGAUGAGGAAUCUUUGGAUGAGUCAUCCCAGGACAACAACUCUAAGAUGACUCAUCCUUCUGUAUCCAAUCCACAAACCAUAUGACCCUUCACUUUUUUUUUCUUUUAAUACCCUUGCAAUGUGAUAAAUAAAUCUGGAUUGUUGGAAAAAUAUAAGAUUGAGAUUUAAUGAAAAGAGAAGUAAAAGAAAAUUGAGCUCAUUAACAGCUAACAGAAAUAAAAAUAUGCAACUAGCAAUUCAUUGCUGCUUGCAACAUUGACCUAUUUACUUCAAAAAGUACAUUCAAAAGAAUAGGGCAUGCCAUUUCUCAGAAUUCAGUUAGUUUUCUACUAGCCCACAGAUUUGGGCCAAGUUUGUUCAAGUCUUCUGAAGGUUCUUACCAGGUCAAAUCCUACUGGAAGAGUGAAGUGUUUGUCAGAAUAGUGAUAUACAGCUGAAACAUUAGGAGGAUGGCUGCCAGCACGAGCUAUAUCCCCAACUGAGAUAUACCUGAGGCAAGUGGAAUUUCAUUUGAGAUUAACAGAAGCAUUAAGACAAAAGUAACAUUACCAGUAAAGGCAACUUGCAAAAUUUUUAACCUCCCCAAGAAUGUGAUCCAGAUAAAGUAAAAGACUAUUCCAAACAUGGUCAAUUUAUGCACACAACAUGCAGCAGUCCUAGUUAGUUUCCAGAAUUCAUAGGAUUAUACUACUGUUUGGCUUGAAAAUAUAAUUUCUUAUUUUGCUCUUUGAGAUUAGGACAAUAUUAUAAAAUAUAAUCAAUAACGAACUACAAACGAGAACAGCCAUAGUUGUUGGAUAUGAAUACGGAGAAACAAAUAAUCUGUAGCCGCUAAAUUUCCAAAUGAAACUCAAUAUGCUUUUACAACCUAGAACUUCACAAGAUGCGCAUACUGCAUUAGACAGUCAAAGAAUAUCCACAGCACAAAUCCACCUAUUCUUUCUACCUGCCUUCCCUGCAUUUUGCCUCACUUUACUGCAUUCUCAACAAGAAUCCUAAUUAUGUGAAGUGACGUUGCAAAAUGAUGGGAAGCAAAAAGUUGCAUUCCACAGAGCUUUUAGAAGGCUGAUCAUGACAGGUAUACUGUCUACUCAAUGGUGAAGUCCAACAGUCAAGCACAAAGAAGUGGAGCCUUGGGGAAGAGGAUGAUAGCACUCCUACAUCCACACUUCUAACUCAACUAAUCUAACCUCUCAGCCUGACCCUUCAGUUCCCAAAGGAAGAGAUAAAAUAUCAGGAAUGAUUCUGAAAACAUUGCAUUAUAGAGUAUGUUAACAUUCUCCUAGCUUGGCUUCACUUAAAGAGGACGUUAUGAGGAUAAGCAGAAAGAUGCUCCAUCUCAAAUUCAUUAUUCUUACAUUUCCCUCGAGUCACGCACCAGAUCCUAUGGAUGCAUUGAUUAGUAUAAAUCUUAUAAUUAGUCACGCACCAGUUUCAGCUGGUUUAUAAUUUACAUCCACAAGUUCCAAUGUAACAUUUAUGUAUUCUCUCAUCUAAGACGUCAUAACAAGUCAAAUUAGUUUCAUGUGCUACCAGAAGUCCUAGCCUUUUAAUAGAAAAAAUCUGAGAAAAAGUUCAAUGAUUACCCAUUGGGACAGACUGGUCGCCAAAUACUACAAAUUCCACCUUCUUCAGAUUCCUGAGAGAAAGGCAUUUCAUUUAGAUAAGUUUGAUAGUCACAACCUGUAGACAUCAUUAUCUUAAGAUUGACAAGUUUACCUUCUUUUGGCACAAGGUACAUCGACCUUUUGAUUCUUGUUCACUGCUCCACACCUUCAAAAAGUUCAUACAGUGUGUGACAAGUUUACCAUCAUCCGAAGCAGAACCAGCUAAAGAGAGCUCUGUUGAUUUGAUCACUGAUUUCAAGUGCAUAUGAGGAUCACUUCCACCAGCUUCAUUACGGAUAGAACAUACAUGUCUCUGGAUAGACGGGACCUGCAAAUGGCACAGGCAUAUCGUAUGAAAUAUGGUAUUACUGUUUCCUAGUUAAAAUUGAUUGACUGCAAGAUUUAUGACCUUUGACAUUUGGUUGCUCGGCUCUGAGUCAGUUCGCUUCCAAAACUUGCGCACCAUGGAACAUAUACUUACAGCCUGAGGCUCUCUUUCGUUUGAUUCUUCGGUAUUGCACUUUAUAACUCUGACAAAGUUCUCUGACCUCUUAAAAUUCUUGAGAUGGAUAAUUAAAUGAGAUGGUAUGGGGAAACCAGCUUUUGCCAACUCCAAUGCCAAUAUGUCUUCCCAUGGCACAUCCCACAUGAUCUUGCAAGGUUUUUUGUCCAUCUUAUCAGGUGAGGCACACUUCAGAUGUAGAAAAAGCAGAGAGUAUCAAAUACAAGAUGGCAACAAGAAAUGUAGUAAUUGACAAAGGGGGGAAAAAAGGAAGUAUGAGAGAAAAAUGAAUGAAUGAGGCAUUUAUCAACCUGUAGCAGCAUAACACGUUUGUUAGUUACUAGAACAAUCCGUUGGUAGGGCACCACAAAAUGAGCCUCAUACUGAUCCGACCAAGCAAAUUUUGAUGGCUCUUUAAAUAUUUCAGUACAUCCAAAAUGUCGACUUGCCUCCGCAAGGAAAAGUACCAUCUACAAUGAAGAUUCAAUGAAUCAAUAAUAAAAUUCCAUUUUUGAUCUACAAACUGAUACAUGUGAGAAUCACCACACGUCCAAACUUAUUUUUUUAGCUCCAGAAGAAUAUGUGGCAUCAGUUAUGGAGAUAAUCAUUAGCUUGGAAGAGGCUUAAGUAAUUGUUUAUAUACUUGAAUGCACUGCUACCACAAAACACAGUGCAGUUAAUUUCGAUUCUUCAUCAGGAAAAUGAUGAGGUAAACAUAUCUCCAUGCUUCAGAAGUUGGCCAACAGUCCCAAAGUUAUUAUUUCCCUUCUGCAAGGCCUUUGGUACUGACAGAAGGCCAACGCCUCUACAUGUUGUGAUUUUUGUGAACAUAUUUAGAUCCAAAAAACUACUCAAUGAGAUGUAAGGGAGAUGAACUUGAAACAAUAACCAGAUAAACAAAUUGACAUCUAAAAUCACAACAGUUAUAGCUACCUGACCAACAGCUUCUCUCCUGCAGUACUCUCUAAGUACAUUGUCAGAAUGAAUAGCCCGGGGGUUCCUUAUUCUCUGGAAAGAGGUCUUGUUUUGGAGAAUAUCCAAGCACCUGGAACAGCUUGCACCUAUUCCAUCAACAGUCAACGAGACAAAGUCUAAUGCUCCACUGACUGGCUGUACAAUGAAUCCUAAGAAAGCUUGACCCAGCCCAUGAGCAAGGCCAAGAAGACCAUUUUCUCUAGCACUUUCCACAGGCUUUCUUAAAACCCCUGAAACUCCAAAAGCAACUCCUUGUGCAAGAGCUUCUGUUCCCUGAAUGAUUCCAUCACCAACACCACCUAUCCUUCUUGACCAAACCUGAUUAAAUUUAAAUUGUUUCUUAGUUCAGAAUUGCACGCAGUCAAGCCACUAAUAACAAAAAACAAUUAAAUUGACUACCUGCUUUGAACGUAGUUGCAGAAACUGUCCAUCUGUAGAGAGCUCCGCAAAACCUUUGCUAAGAGAAGCUAAAGUUGAACUUGUCAUGCCGAGGACAUCCACCGAAAAAAUCAAAUGCAAUGGAUUAUGAAUCAAAUCUCUCCACAAACGAUUUGUAAUGGCAGAUACGACAGAACUUUUUCUCAUGAAUCUGCCUCUGCGUAUCAAUUUUCUCAGAUGGAUCUGAAAUAGAAGUAUGAAGUAAAAAAUGUUUAAAAUUGUCAGCCAUAUCCCUUUAUUCAGUUCUAAUAGCAAAUUUCAUCAAUCUGCCAAUCCAAGGGGAGUUCAACAAGUCAUUGGUAAAGGAAAGCAGUUUUAAGGUUUCAUAUAAUCGCUUCAUGAGUUUGUAAGGGGAAUUUUGCACAUUAUAUACAUCUAUGUCAAACGUUAUUAUGUUUGUCUAUACAAAUAGAAAAACAGGGCAAAGUGCAGCCACUAACAUUAACAAGUUUGUCAUUUUGGUCACUGAGUAAUAUUUAGUCUCAUUAUGGUCGCUAUAGAAUGUUUGAUCUUCUGAUGCAUUCUAAUUUAAGUUAUACACAUUCUGUGUGGCAAAUUUUUGUCAGAUCAUUCCUUAAUUGUUUUUACUUCUUAUUUAUUCUCUGUCCCUUCCUUGGGCAGUGGCUGCAUAGGAUUAGCAUUUCAGGGAGGAAGAGGGAAAAGAGACAAGUAAUGAACACACGAGGAAAAAAAAAAUUGAGACAAAAGAUAAAAAAGAUGGAAAUGAUAACAAGAUGAUACAAGAAUAAAAAAAAUGACGGUGAACAUAAUUGCCCACCAUAAAAUGCACAAGAAUGAACCAGGGACCUCAUCACUGUGACAAACAGAAUAACUUAGGAAAUUGGUAAGCAACCAAGAUUGUAAAGUUGGUUGGCCAGAAAGAGACAGAAGAUUAUUGACUAUGAAAACGGAAUAUUUUAGAAUACCCCAUAUAACUACAGAUGAACAUGCAUGAGAUGAUAUACAAUACACAUAUGCAUCAGAUAUGAUUCGGUGGUGAAACAGAUGAAGAGUAUGAAGAGUUUUAUGUUGCAGCAUUUCUUUCCCACCCAAAAAACAAAAAAAAAAAGAUCCAAAAAAUAUCAAAUUUACUAACUCAUCACCUAAUGGUUCUGGAAGCAAUUGAUAAAUACCAGCUUGAGGUUGACAUUAUGAAUGCUGUUCAACUCAUUAACAUCUCAAGGAACAUACAAGUAAUCUAUACAAACAUAUACACAUAUGAACAGAACUGUUCGAUAGCUGCAUCAGUGUAUAUUGUCCAGUGAAUGAGGUAUAGGAAAUCAACUGCAUUGAGUGUCAUACACUCUCUCACUUUAUGUAUACCAAUUCGUAAGUCCACCAAAAGUCACAUGAAAAGAAAGGAGAAGAAGAAGGGAAUCG